rnacentral:rRNA from 1 species
GGUUAAGUGACUAAGCGUACACGGUGGAUGCCUAGGCAGUCAGAGGCGAUGAAGGGCGUGCUAAUCUGCGAAAAGCGUCGGUAAGGUGAUAUGAACCGUUACAACCGGCGAUACCCGAAUGGGGAAACCCAGUGUGUUUCGACACACUAUCAUGUCAUGAAUACAUAGUGGCAUGAGGCGAACCGGGGGAACUGAAACAUCUAAGUACCCCGAGGAAAAGAAAUCAACCGAGAUUCCCCCAGUAGCGGCGAGCGAACGGGGAGGAGCCCAGAACCUGAAUCGGCUUGUGUGUUAGUGGAAGCGUCUGGAAAGUCGCGCAGCAAAGGGUGAUAGCCCCGUACACUAAAAUGCACAGGUCGUGAGUUCGAUGAGUAGGGCGGGACACGUGACAUCCUGUCUGAAUAUGGGGGGACCAUCCUCCAAGGCUAAAUACUCCUGACUGACCGAUAGUGAACCAGUACCGUGAGGGAAAGGCGAAAAGAACCCCGGCGAGGGGAGUGAAAUAGAACCUGAAACCGUGUACGUACAAGCAGUGGGAGCACCUUCGUGGUGUGACUGCGUACCUUUUGUAUAAUGGGUCAGCGACUUAUAUUUUGUAGCAAGGUUAACCGUAUAGGGGAGCCGUAGGGAAACCGAGUCUUAACUGGGCGAAUAGUUGCAAGGUAUAGACCCGAAACCCGGUGAUCUAGCCAUGGGCAGGUUGAAGGUUGGGUAACACUAACUGGAGGACCGAACCGACUAAUGUUGAAAAAUUAGCGGAUGACUUGUGGCUGGGGGUGAAAGGCCAAUCAAACCGGGAGAUAGCUGGUUCUCCCCGAAAGCUAUUUAGGUAGCGCCUCGUGAACUCAUCUUCGGGGGUAGAGCACUGUUUCGGCUAGGGGGCCAUCCCGGCUUACCAAACCGAUGCAAACUCCGAAUACCGAAGAAUGUUAUCACGGGAGACACACGGCGGGUGCUAACGUCCGUCGUGAAGAGGGAAACAACCCAGACCGCCAGCUAAGGUCCCAAAGUCAUGGUUAAGUGGGAAACGAUGUGGGAAGGCACAGACAGCCAGGAUGUUGGCUUAGAAGCAGCCAUCAUUUAAAGAAAGCGUAAUAGCUCACUGGUCGAGUCGGCCUGCGCGGAAGAUGUAACGGGGCUAAACCAUGCACCGAAGCUGCGGCAGCGACGCUUAGGCGUUGUUGGGUAGGGGAGCGUUCUGUAAGCCGUUGAAGGUGGCCUGUGAGGGUUGCUGGAGGUAUCAGAAGUGCGAAUGCUGACAUAAGUAACGAUAAAGCGGGUGAAAAGCCCGCUCGCCGGAAGACCAAGGGUUCCUGUCCAACGUUAAUCGGGGCAGGGUGAGUCGACCCCUAAGGCGAGGCUGAAAAGCGUAGUCGAUGGGAAACAGGUUAAUAUUCCUGUACUUGGUGUUACUGCGAAGGGGGGACGGAGAAGGCUAGGCUGGCCGGGCGACGGUUGUCCCGGUUUAAGCGUGUAGGGGGUGUGACCUGGUAAAUCCGGUUGCAUAUCAACCCUGAGGCGUGAUGACGAUGCACUACGGUGCAGAAGUAGUUGAUGCCCUGCUUCCAGGAAAAUCCUCUAAGCUCCAGGUAACAUUGAAUCGUACCCCAAACCGACACAGGUGGUCAGGUAGAGAAUACCAAGGCGCUUGAGAGAACUCGGGUGAAGGAACUAGGCAAAAUGGUGCCGUAACUUCGGGAGAAGGCACGCUGGCAUGUAGGUGAAGUCCCUUGCGGAUGGAGCUGAAGCCAGUCGAAGAUACCAGCUGGCUGCAACUGUUUAAUAAAAACACAGCACUGUGCAAACACGAAAGUGGACGUAUACGGUGUGACGCCUGCCCGGUGCUGGAAGGUUAAUUGAUGGGGUCAGCCGCAAGGCGAAGCUCUUGAUCGAAGCCCCAGUAAACGGCGGCCGUAACUAUAACGGUCCUAAGGUAGCGAAAUUCCUUGUCGGGUAAGUUCCGACCUGCACGAAUGGCGUAAUGAUGGCCAGGCUGUCUCCACCCGAGACUCAGUGAAAUUGAACUCGCUGUGAAGAUGCAGUGUACCCGCGGCAAGACGGAAAGACCCCGUGAACCUUUACUAUAGCUUGACACUGAACAUUGAGCCUUGAUGUGUAGGAUAGGUGGGAGGCUUUGAAGCGUGGACGCCAGUCUGCGUGGAGCCAUCCUUGAAAUACCACCCUUUAAUGUUUGAUGUUCUAACUCUGCCCCGUGAUCCGGGGUGAGGACAGUGUCUGGUGGGUAGUUUGACUGGGGCGGUCUCCUCCCAAAGAGUAACGGAGGAGCACGAAGGUUAGCUAAUCACGGUCGGACAUCGUGAGGUUAGUGCAAAGGCAUAAGCUAGCUUGACUGCGAGAGUGACGGCUCGAGCAGGUACGAAAGUAGGUCUUAGUGAUCCGGUGGUUCUGAAUGGAAGGGCCAUCGCUCAACGGAUAAAAGGUACUCCGGGGAUAACAGGCUGAUACCGCCCAAGAGUUCAUAUCGACGGCGGUGUUUGGCACCUCGAUGUCGGCUCAUCACAUCCUGGGGCUGAAGUAGGUCCCAAGGGUAUGGCUGUUCGCCAUUUAAAGUGGUACGCGAGCUGGGUUUAGAACGUCGUGAGACAGUUCGGUCCCUAUCUGCCGUGGGCGUUGGAAGAUUGAGAGGGGUUGCUCCUAGUACGAGAGGACCGGAGUGAACGCACCACUGGUGUUCGGGUUGUCAUGCCAAUGGCAUUGCCCGGUAGCUAAGUGCGGAAAAGAUAAGCGCUGAAAGCAUCUAAGCGCGAAACUUGCCUCAAGAUGAGUCUUCCCUGG